GUGUCAGCAGCCGCGGUAAUACGUAGGGUGCGAGCGUUAAUCGGAAUUACUGGGCGUAAAGCGUGCGCAGGCGGCUUUUUAAGCCAGACGUGAAAUCCCCGGGCUCAACCUGGGAAUGGCGUUUGGGACUGGAAGGCUUGAGUGCGGCAGAGGGAGGUGGAAUUCCUGGUGUAGCAGUGAAAUGCGUAGAUAUCAGGAGGAACACCGAUGGCGAAGGCAGCCUCCUGGGCCAGCACUGACGCUCAAGCACGAAAGCGUGGGGAGCAAACAGGAUUAGAUACCCGCGUAGUCC
rnacentral:rRNA from 1 species